UGACUGCGUACCUUUUGUAUAAUGGGUCAGCGACUUAUAUUCUGUAGCAAGGUUAACCGAAUAGGGGAGCCGGAGGGAAACCGAGUCUUAAUUGGGCGUUAAGUUGCAGGGUAUAGACCCGAAACCCGGUGAUCUAGCCAUGGGCAGGUUGAAGGUUGGGUAACACUAACUGGAGGACCGAACCGACUAAUGUUGAAAAAUUAGCGGAUGACCUGUGGCUGGGGGUGAAAGGCCAAUCAAACCGGGAGAUAGCUGGUUCUCCCCGAAAGCUAUUUAGGUAGCGCCUCGUGAAUUCAUCUCCGGGGGUAGAGCACUGUUUCGGCUAGGGGGCCAUCCCGGCUUACCAACCCGAUGCAAACUGCGAAUACCGGAGAAUGUUAUCACGGGAGACACACGGCGGGUGCUAACGUCCGUCGUGAAGAGGGAAACAACCCAGACCGCCAGCUAAGGUCCCAAAGUCAUGGUUAAGUGGGAAACGAUGUGGGAAGGCCCAGACAGCCAGGAUGUUGGCUUAGAAGCAGCCAUCAUUUAAAGAAAGCGUAAUAGCUCACUGGUCGAGUCGGCCUGCGCGGAAGAUGUAACGGGGCUAAACCAUGCACCGAAGCUGCGGCAGCGACGCUGAUGCGUUGUUGGGUAGGGGAGCGUUCUGUAAGCCUGCGAAGGUGGCCUGUGAGGGUUGCUGGAGGUAUCAGAAGUGCGAAUGCUGACAUAAGUAACGAUAAAGCGGGUGAAAAGCCCGCUCGCCGGAAGACCAAGGGUUCCUGUCCAACGUUAAUCGGGGCAGGGUGAGUCGACCCCUAAGGCGAGGCCGAAAGGCGUAGUCGAUGGGAAACGGGUUAAUAUUCCCGUACUUGGUGUUACUGCGAAGGGGGGACGGAGAAGGCUAUGUUGGCCGGGCGACGGUUGUCCCGGUUUAAGCGUGUAGGUGUGUGUUCCAGGUAAAUCCGGUUCACUUUAACACUGAGGCGUGAUGACGAGGCACUACGGUGCUGAAGCAACAAAUGCCCUGCUUCCAGGAAAAGCCUCUAAGCAUCAGGUAACAUCAAAUCGUACCCCAAACCGACACAGGUGGUCAGGUAGAGAAUACCAAGGCGCUUGAGAGAACUCGGGUGAAGGAACUAGGCAAAAUGGUGCCGUAACUUCGGGAGAAGGCACGCUGACACGUAGGUGAAGUGAUUUACUCAUGGAGCUGAAGUCAGUCGAAGAUACCAGCUGGCUGCAACUGUUUAUUAAAAACACAGCACUGUGCAAACACGAAAGUGGACGUAUACGGUGUGACGCCUGCCCGGUGCCGGAAGGUUAAUUGAUGGGGUCAGCGCAAGCGAAGCUCCUGAUCGAAGCCCCGGUAAACGGCGGCCGUAACUAUAACGGUCCUAAGGUAGCGAAAUUCCUUGUCGGGUAAGUUCCGACCUGCACGAAUGGCGUAAUGAUGGCCAGGCUGUCUCCACCCGAGACUCAGUGAAAUUGAACUCGCUGUGAAGAUGCAGUGUACCCGCGGCAAGACGGAAAGACCCCGUGAACCUUUACUAUAGCUUGACACUGAACAUUGAGCCUUGAUGUGUAGGAUAGGUGGGAGGCUUUGAAGUGUGGACGCCAGUCUGCAUGGAGCCGACCUUGAAAUACCACCCUUUAAUGUUUGAUGUUCUAACGUGGACCCGUGAUCCGGGUUGCGGACAGUGUCUGGUGGGUAGUUUGACUGGGGCGGUCUCCUCCUAAAGAGUAACGGAGGAGCACGAAGGUUGGCUAAUCCUGGUCGGACAUCAGGAGGUUAGUGCAAUGGCAUAAGCCAGCUUGACUGCGAGCGUGACGGCGCGAGCAGGUGCGAAAGCAGGUCAUAGUGAUCCGGUGGUUCUGAAUGGAAGGGCCAUCGCUCAACGGAUAAAAGGUACUCCGGGGAUAACAGGCUGAUACCGCCCAAGAGUUCAUAUCGACGGCGGUGUUUGGCACCUCGAUGUCGGCUCAUCACAUCCUGGGGCUGAAGUAGGUCCCAAGGGUAUGGCUGUUCGCCAUUUAAAGUGGUACGCGAGCUGGGUUUAGAACGUCGUGAGACAGUUCGGUCCCUAUCUGCCGUGGGCGCUGGAGAACUGAGGGGGGCUGCUCCUAGUACGAGAGGACCGGAGUGGACGCAUCACUGGUGUUCGGGUUGUCAUGCCAAUGGCACUGCCCGGUAGCUAAAUGCGGAAGAGAUAAGUGCUGAAAGCAUCUAAGCACGAAACUUGCCCCGAGAUGAGUUCU
rnacentral:rRNA from 2 species